GACGAACGCUGGCGGCGUGCCUAAUACAUGCAAGUCGAACGAACUCUGGUAAUGAUUGGUGCUUGCAUCAUGAAUUACAUUUGAGUGAGUGACGAACUGGUGAGUAACACGUGGGAAACCUGCCCAGAAGCGGGGGAUAACACCUGGAAACAGAUGCUAAUACCGCAUAACAACUUGGACCGCAUGGUCCGAGUUUGAAAGAUGGCUUCGGCUAUCACUUUUGGAUGGUCCCGCGGCGUAUUAGCUAGAUGGUGAGGUAACGGAUCACCAUGGCAAUGAUACGUAGCCGACCUGAGAGGGUAAUCGGCCACAUUGGGACGGCGACACGGCCCAAACUCCUACGGGAGGCAGCAGUAGGGAAUCUUCCACAAUGGACGAAAGUCUGAUGGAGCAACGCCGCGUGAGUGAAGAAGGGUUUCGGCUCGUAAAACUCUGUUGUUAAAGAAGAACAUAUCUGAGAGUAACUGUUCAGGUAUUGACGGUAUUUAACCAGAAAGCCACGGCUAACUACGUGCCAGCAGCCGCGGUAA
rnacentral:rRNA from 1 species